AGGACAUAUUUUCCUACAUGUAUACCAACAUUUUGAUGUGAAGGACUGAGCAGAUACACUCAAAAGAUCCAGUUUUCUCCUUGAGUGCCAAAGACCAAUUUUAGGUCACCCACAGCAAUCCAAAGAAGAAGAAAACUGCAGGUAUUGUAUUUGGUAUUCACUGGCAUGGGUGAGAGGUACAUCUUUUGCAUAUGUGCU
rnacentral:lncRNA from 1 species